rnacentral:rRNA from 1 species
GACGAACGCUGGCGGCGUGCCUAAUACAUGCAAGUUGAGCGCUGAAGGUUGGUACUUGUACCAACUGGAUGAGCAGCGAACGGGUGAGUAACGCGUGGGGAAUCUGCCUUUGAGCGGGGGACAACAUUUGGAAACGAAUGCUAAUACCGCAUAAAAACUUUAAACACAAGUUUUAAGUUUGAAAGAUGCAAUUGCAUCACUCAAAGAUGAUCCCGCGUUGUAUUAGCUAGUUGGUGAGGUAAAGGCUCACCAAGGCGAUGAUACAUAGCCGACCUGAGAGGGUGAUCGGCCACAAUGGGACUGAGACAAGGCCCAAACUCCUACGGGAGGCAGCAGUAGGGAAUCUUCGGCAAUGGACGAAAGUCUGACCGAGCAACGCCGCGUGAGUGAAGAAGGUUUUCGGAUCGUAAAACUCUGUUGGUAGAGAAGAAAGUUGGUGAGAGUGGAAAGCUCAUCAAGUGACGGUAACUACACAGAAAGGGACGGCUAACUACGUG